rnacentral:rRNA from 1 species
GAUGAAUGCUGGCGGCGUGCCUAACACAUGCAAGUCGAGCGGCAGCGAGGGGUGCUUGCACCCUGUCGGCGAGCGGCGAACGGCUGAGUAACGCGUAGGAAUUUGCCCCAAAGUGAGGAAUAACUGCCCGAAAGGGUAGCUAAUGCCGCAUAUGGUCUUCGGAUUAAAGGAUUCAUCCGCUUUGGGAGAAGCCUGCGUUGGAUUAGGUUGUUGGUAGGGUAAUGGCCUACCAAGCCGACGAUCCAUAGCUGGUCUGAGAGGAUGAUCAGCCAGACUGGAACUGAGACACAGUCCAGACUCCUACGGGAGGGAGCAGUGAGGAAUCUUGCACAAUGGGGGAAAGGCUGAUGGAGCAACGCCGCGUGAAGGAUGAAGGCCUUCGGGUUGUAAACUUCUUUUAUGAGUGAAGAAUAUGACGGUAACUCAUGAAUAAGCACCGGCUAACUACGUG